CACCCGGUAGCACAUGGCGUGCAUCUGCUAUACCUAACCAAAUGUGUUUCAUGGUGCAGAAGGCCCCCGUUCGACUCGGGGCCGGGUGA